GUGUGCGUGUGUGUGUGUGUGUGUGUGUGUGUGUGUGUGUGUGUGUGUGUGUGUGUGUGUGUGUGUGUGUGUGUGUGUGUGUGUGUGUGUGUGUGUGUGUGUGUGUGUGUGUGUGUGUGUGUGUUGUGGGGCUGAAGCUACUGACCCGUAGCAGAUGUACGCAAUAUCCCCACACACUCGGGCAGCUUUCAUGGCUGGGAUAAGUUCUUUCCGCCUCUGGUGCACAGCUUCCGAGUAGUCCUCGUUAAGGAAGAUGUCGGUUCCUCUCAAGUUCUUGGCUCUCUCCAGAACAGCCAUCUUGUCCUUAUACCUCAGGAACUUGACCACUAUCGGCCCAGUUCUCACGUGAAAACUCUGAUAUGCCAUCCAGUGGUGCAAUGGAGGGUAAAUCUCUGGAUGUGAUGUGGACAUUGACCAAGUCCAAUGGGUUCUUACCUUUUUUCUGUAGAGAGGUUUAACUCUUUGAACAUGAGAGGUGUCUCCAUAAAUUGGUCUCUCUUCAUGGACACACAGCUGGGUACAGGUGUGACAGUACCCGGGUGGUUCCUGGUGGAGAGCCAAACGAGAUCACCAGGAUGGAAAACGAGAGCCUCACUGCGGUUGCGGUCCGCCUGCUCCUUCUGAUGGUGGACGGCGCGCUGGAGCGUCAUGUGGGCAUCGUUCCAAACCUUCUCUGCGCGCCUGAACCACUCAUCCACCGCAGGAGCUUCAGUCUGGCUCAGGGUCCACGGAGCUAGGGCUGGCUGAUAUCCUAGGACACACUGGAAGGGGGUCAGCCCGGUGGAGGAGUGACGCAGGUGAAUUCUAGGCGUACUCCGCCCAGGGAAGGAACCGCGCCCACUCCCCCUGCCGGUCCUGGCAGUGACUCCUAAGGAACCUCCCCAGCUCCUGGUUCAUCCUCUUCACCUGCCCAUUGGACUGAGGCCGUUACCCGGAUGUGAGGCUGACCGUGACUCUCAGCUUCUCCAUGAAGGCUCUCCAUACCCGUGACAUGAAUUGCUUUAUUGCUAUAGUCUACUAGACAGGUCAAACGUUAUUUGGUGCAACGUCUUUGUCCCUGCUAGACUUUGUCCCUGCUAGACUAUGGAGCCCAAGGUAGCUAUUCAAGACCAGUUAUGCCUGUACACACACAGUGAACUGUACUCUAGUGAUUUGUGCUGGAACAGGGUGUCUCAUGCUCUGAGAGAAAUAAAAACAUCUCUGAUGUUUCCUUCAAUCACUCUCACAAGCUCAUUUUAUAAAAACAUUUAAACAACGACUACAACAGCCAGUGUGCCAACACUUGUUCCACCUGACCUUUCUGUAAUGAUCAGAGACGGGCAGUAUUUCUGUUACACAUAUUUAAAAGACGUAUUUUAAUUACUUCUGAGUAUACUGUCAUUUAAAUUACACUGGGUUAAACUACACUCCAAUGUAUUUUUUAUUUUGUAUUUUGUAAUUGUAUUUUGUCAUUUUUGCCCAUGUCUGGUGAUGAUACCAUGGAAACGUUCACAACAUGGAGUUUCAUGAUCCUGAUUGAAUCAAGCUAAAGUAACACGCUUUGGCUAAGAAGUUGACGUAAAGCACAUGUGCUUGCUCCACAUAGAACAGGAAUAAGAGAUGGGAUCAUUUGAGUUCUUUUGAGUUUGUCUUCGCCUGAGGUUGAAGUCACCAAGUGAAGGCUGUCGCCCGUUGAGCACCUGAGGUGGUGAACAGCUGACAUCACAGGCGAUGUCAGAGGUUUGAUAAAGGUCAUGACCUUCAACAAUAUUCUAACUGUGAAAGCUGAAUGGCCUGAGGGGGUUAAACAACAACCCUCUCAAUGGCAUUGACCCCAACUGGGCAUCUCUCCAAUAUAAACUGACCUGACUGCAUGGGAGGUUUUUUUAUUUUUUUUAUUUAGGUCAGGGUUCAUUCCAUGAUCACAUCCAUCUCGAUAUUCAGUGGCUUCCUUUUCUUAUCUCUUUUCCUGCACUGGUGUGAAAGACCUGGGAUAGAUGAAAUCAAAUUCACAGUGAGGAAUGCCAUUUUGUAUUUAUCUACAGUGUUCAGCUUCAGAUCAGCUCAUGAGAAGGGAAGGAGACGAGCAGAGGAAGACGUUUUAGACAAUUGAGAUACACCCCAGAGUUCUUUUUUUCUAGGCUACUCUCCUCUUUGUGGGGGUCAAAGUUGAACUCUUAGGGUCAUGCAAGUGCUGUCUUGUCUGUUUUUAUAGGUGGGGAAUAUGGUUUGAUAUGAAUUAGGAAAUGUUCGUCCAAUGUGUAUCUGAUAUUUCACUCAACAUUAUAAUGACAUCAUAAUUUCACAUUAAAGACGGUUUUAACCAA